UUAAAAUCUCUGAUCUUAUACUUUCUUAUCUAUAAAAAAGAUGACUAUUGAGGUGCCUUAAAUCUAUGUUCCUAUACAUAACAUAUUUCAGGGUUAUGGAGAUAAUCAGGGGUUGAACCUUUACCUUCUGUACUGGAACCUGUGGAGGUCAGCACAUGGAGUACAAGUUGAGAUGGCACUGUGGAGACUAUUACCCAAUGGAGCAUGCAUGGAUAAGCUUGUAACCUGGGUCAUUUAGAUGGCUCAAGCCACUUUCAGAUAUGGAAUCUGAAGCAGAGAAAGCUUAAAUCACUUGUGCAGAGUUGCCCAUCCAGGAAGUGAGGUAAGAUUGGAAAUCUGGUCUUCUUGACUCCAAAUCUCAAGCACUUUCCACCAUACCAUCUUUACGUCCAAAACUAUCCUCGAAGAUACAAAGAAAGUUGACAAUGGCAAAAUGGAGAAACUGAGGACUAGAAGGUCAAGGACUACAUAUUUAGAAUAGUAAGAGAAUUUUGAAAGUACUUAGUUGAAAACCCUGAUUUUGCAGAUGAAGAAACUGAACUGUAAAGAGAGAAUAUACCUUUCCCUAAGUCACAGGUUGGAAAUGCAGAAAUCAUUAUCUCAAUCCCGCUUUGAUCAUCACCUGAGCCUUGAUCUGAUUUGUCUCCCACUUUCAGGGGUUUUCCAUAUUAAUGUUGAACUUAAGGAAGACAAACAAUCAACUUCAUCUACUGUUUCUCAGAACUUCUGAGCUCAAAAGAGAUGCUAGCUUUAGCUUUCCUGAAUAUCAAUAAGUUCUUCUUCUUCUUUUUUAUCAUUGUUAUUUUAUAGUAGUUAUCAAAAAUAAUUAAAUAUAGUGAG
rnacentral:lncRNA from 1 species